rnacentral:lncRNA from 1 species
GUUUCUAGAAUCUGGCUACACCUGGGAUCUAAGUGCUUUUCGUCUGAGAAAAUGCAUCUCUAUUCAGCCCCUCGGGACUUCCCCGAAGGAAAGAUAGGAUAUUUGAGGUGGCCUGGGGAGCUUUUCAUUCCUGUGAUCUUGUAGAAGUCUCCUGAUGGUUCCCCAGAGUGUGUCUGGAUCCCAGUCACAGCAUGGACUGUAGCCAGACCACCUGCAGAAUCCCGCUUUGGACAUCAAUGAGCAGAGCAGCGCUGGGUGAGUAAURUGGCUUUUCUGUGCCAUGUCUUUCUCAUUUGGGCACGCAGAAUCAUAGCAGCACG